AUAAUUACCUGGCACGGAAAAUACCUUGAUCAAAGAGGUGGUUUGCCCAAAGUGAGGCUCAGCCAUUGCACUCGGUCUGUGCUGACCUUUGCGAAAUCCCCAAAUGCGUAAAUCUUGACUGCAUAAUUUCUGAUAGUGGGGGACUGCGUUCACGCUCUCCCCUU